AAGAGUUGUAUCCACCAUUACAUUCAUUCCUUAAUUACUACACUAUUAUUUUUUUCUACUAAGAACAAUGACACAAAUAAACAACAUUUAAACCUCCACCGAAUCAAAACAACAACAAAAUGCAGCAGCCACCGCUUUCCACUGAAAUCACCUCCCCGGAAAACGCAGCAACCACUACCACCACUUCUCCAG